GAUGAACGCUAGCGGCAGGCCUAACACAUGCAAGUCGAGGGGUAACAGAUUUAGCAAUAAAUGCUGACGACCGGCGCACGGGUGAGUAACACGUUUGCAACCUACCUCUAACUGGAGAAUAGCCCGGAGAAAUUCGGAUUAAUACUUCAUAACAUCAUAAAAAGGCAUCUUUUAGUGAUUAAAGCUCAGGCGGUUAGAGAUGGGCAUGCGUGACAUUAGCUAGUUGGUGAGGUAACGGCUCACCAAGGCUACGAUGUCUAGGGGGUCUGAGAGGAUGAUCCCCCACACUGGUACUGAGACACGGACCAGACUCCUACGGGAGGCUG
rnacentral:rRNA from 1 species